UACGCAGGGGGCUAGCGUUGUUCGGAAUUACUGGGCGUAAGGCGCACGUAGGCGGAUUUGUUAGUCAGGGGUGAAAUCCCGGGGCUCAACCUCGGAACUGCCUUUGAUACUGCAAAUCUCGAGUCCGGAAGAGGUGAGUGGAAUUCCUAGUGUAGAGGUGAAAUUCGUAGAUAUUAGGAAGAACACCAGUGGCGAAGGCGGCUCACUGGUCCGGUACUGACGCUGAGGUGCGAAAGCGUGGGGAGCAAACAGG
rnacentral:rRNA from 1 species